rnacentral:tRNA from 3 species
ACCUACUUAACUCAGUGGUUAGAGUAUCGCUUUCAUACGGCGAGAGUCAUUGGUUCGAAUCCAAUAGCAGGUA